rnacentral:rRNA from 1 species
UACGGGGGGGGCAAGCGUUGUUCGGAAUCACUGGGCGUAAAGGGCUCGUAGGCGGCCAACUAAGUCAGACGUGAAAUCCCUCGGCUUAACCGGGGAACUGCGUCUGAUACUGGAUGGCUUGAGUUUGGGAGAGGGAUGCGGAAUUCCAGGUGUAGCGGUGAAAUGCGUAGAUAUCUGGAGGAACACCGGUGGCGAAGGCGGCAUCCUGGACCAACACUGACGCUGAGUGAGCGAAAGCCAGGGGAGCAAACGGG